ACACAAGAAGCCAGGGACCAAACCGCCAAAACCGCCGCCAAGGUCCUUCGAUGAAAUGGAGCAGGAAUUGGUUGGUCAGGUUCCUGUUCCGAUGGCACCCAGGCAUUUGUCAUGUUUUAUCACUGGGAAGCUUCUUGUGGACCCUGUUAAAACGAAGUAUGAUACAGUCUACGAGCGAAGGGCCAUCGAGGAUUUUCUUAAAACGGGAAUGUUUGAUCCACAAAUGGGGAAAGACUAUCCGCUCGGGUUGUCAGAUCUCAUACCAGAUCCAGAAAUGAAGCAGAGGCUGACGAUUUUCCGACUUCAUCAAAUUGGUAACUAUCGACUACUUUGGCUUCUUUGAUCUGUAAACAUUGUUCCGGCAUCAUGGAUUAUUUUUUAAGAUUGUUUUUUACAUUUGAAAGAUCAAACAAUAAUCACUGUACAUUCUUUUCAAAAGGGAAUGGCAAAUACUUAGAUCAUUUGUCUGCUUUCUCACUGUAGUUAGCAGCGACAAACAACAUAUUUCCCAAACUUGAUGGAUACCAUGCUGAAAACCUCUAUCAAGCCUAUUUUCAGCUAUUCAUUAGAAUUAUAACUAUUCUUUUACUAUUUACUAUUCUUUACUAUGUGUUUUUAGACAGAUCUGUUUUAAAUAGACCAAUGUUCCAAUAAGGAGCUACACUUCUAUUUCCUAAACUCAGACCGUACUGUCUCCUGAUGAGCAAUAGUUUCAAUCAUUUGUAUCACUGUUGAUUUCAUUUUUCUAUUUUACGCCACUAUAUCAUCCCAUGUGAAUUAUUUGAUGACAUAAACAUACUUAGAAUGUGUGCUUGAAAUAUGCAGGAACCGCAUUCUUUUACUUAUAGAAAUUAGUCAUCAGCUCAAAAACCAAAGAAAUAGAUCAGGCCCAUAUGGAACCUGGUUGUAACACAACCUAUUCGUUGAUUUAUUUUAGUACUCUGUGUGUAAUUCAAUGUUCUUUUGUUUUAAUAAUGUUGAAGCUCAAAGUCCAGCAUUUAAUUUCUGAAUGAAUUGAUCAAUUAAUCGAUCAGUUUUAAAUCAUGCUUAUUUCAUAUGGACAGUAAAAAAAUGAUUCAGCGUAUCUUUUUCACUGGGGCAGAUAUUUGUUUAUCACCUAUAUCUUAUUAAGGCUACUACUUUUAUAAUAAAUAACAGCCAUGGGGAAUAAAUAGGUAUUUUUUCUUGAAAUAUAAAACCCUAAUUGCAGUAUGUUUUGCAGCAAGUGAUUGGUAAAUAUGAUUGGUUUAAUCCAGAGUUCACUUCAUUAGUUGUGUGUUUUUAUUGAAUAGUAAGGGUUAGAUGAGACAGCAUAAUUAAACCUACGUUCAAGUAAACUUUGUAAUUUUAUGUGAUUCAAACCAUGCCAAAUUCUUGCCAUGUAAUUUGCCUUUGUAUUUGAAACAUGAAAUUGGAUCAAGCAUUUUAUGAGAAAAAACAAAAAUAGAGUGCACUGUGUAACAUUCAAUUUAAGCCCUAAUAAAGUCAAACUUUUGAAACCAAGAUAACAUGCUGCAGCUUCUACAUGCAAUGUCUGUUUGUUCCUUUAAUUGUUGAUGAUUACUAAUUGUAUUAAUAAAAAUCAGCAGUUUUUACUUUCCACUAGAUAACGUAAUGUCCUCUGGGCCAUGUAAUACAAACUCUGUAUUAACUUUUAUUUAAAGAGCCCAUGCCAUUAAAAUCACAUUUUUCCUGUUGUUUGUUAAAUAACAUAGGUCUGAAUAAGUUUGUGAGCUGUGGUAAGUUUGAAAUCUAUGCAGUUUGUCUGCUGAAUGCAAUAGGCAAUGAAAGGAAAAAGGCAGAAGA